UGAGGAAUAUUGGUCAAUGGGCGAGAGCCUGAACCAGCCAAGCCGCGUGAAGGAAGACGGCCCUAUGGGUUGUAAACCUCUUUGUCAGGGAACAAAAGCGAGUAUGUAUACUAGUCUGAGUGUACCUGAAGAAAAAGCAUCGGCUAACUCCGUGCCAGCAGCCGCGGUAAUACGGAGGAUGCGAGCGUUAUCCGGAUUUAUUGGGUUUAAAGGGUGCGUAGGCGGCGAUGCAAGUCAGCGGUAAAAGCCCGGGGCUCAACCCCGGCGAGCCGUUGAAACUGCAGUGCUAGAGAAGGCGAGAGGUACGCGGAAUGCGCAGUGUAGCGGUGAAAUGCUUAGAUAUUGCGCAGAACUCCGAUUGCGAAGGCAGCGUACUGGCGCCUGACUGACGCUGAGGCACGAAAGCGUGGGGGAUCGAACAGGAUUAGAUACC
rnacentral:rRNA from 1 species